UACGUAGGGUGCAAGCGUUGUCCGGAAUUAUUGGGCGUAAAGAGCUCGUAGGCGGUCUGUCGCGUCUGCUGUGAAAACUCGGGGCUUAGCCCCGGGCCUGCAGUGGGUACGGGCAGACUAGAGUGCGGUAGGGGAGACUGGAAUUCCUGGUGUAGCGGUGAAAUGCGCAGAUAUCAGGAGGAACACCGGUGGCGAAGGCGGGUCUCUGGGCCGUAACUGACGCUGAGGAGCGAAAGCGUGGGGAGCGAACAGG
rnacentral:rRNA from 1 species